rnacentral:rRNA from 1 species
ACGAACCGGACAAACGUUAUUCGGAAUUAUUGGGCUUAAAGGGUGCGUAGGCGGCGAUGUAGGUGGGGUGUGAAAUCCCUCGGCUCAACCGAGGAACUGCGCUUCAAACCACAUGGCUAGAGGGAGACAGAGGUAAGCGGAACUGAUGGUGGAGCGGUGAAAUGCGUUGAUAUCAUCAGGAACACCAGUGGCGAAAGCGGCUUACUGGGUCUCUUCUGACGCUGAGGCACGAAAGCUAGGGUAGCGAACGGG